rnacentral:rRNA from 1 species
UACUAGAGUAGCACUCGCAUAUCAAUAAGCGGAGGAAAAGAAACUAACAAGGAUUCCCCCUAGUAACGGCGAGUGAAGCGGGAAGAGCUCAAAUUUGAAAUCUUAAAGGGUUUCCCUUUACGAAUUGUAGUUUAAAGAAGUGUUUUCUGUUGAGGUUUUGGUAAAAGUUCUUUGGAAUAGGACAUCAUAGAGGGUGAGAAUCCCGUAUUUGACCUUUACUUUCAACUUUGUGAUACACUUUCAAAGAGUCGGAUUGUUUGGGAAUGCAGUCCAAAAUGGGUGGUAAAUUUCAUCUAAAGCUAAAUAUUGGCGAGAGACCGAUAGCGAACAAGUACCGUGAGGGAAAGAUGAAAAGAACUUUGAAAAGAGAGUUAAACAGUACGUGAAAUUGUCAAAAGGGAAGCGUUUGACACCAGUGUUGUUUUUCUGAAAAUCAAUUAAAGAACUGUUUGUGCUAAGCUGUUUAGACUUUAUCAGCUAUCUGUUUAGUUUUGAGCUUUUCUUUAAUGCACUUUUCAGUUAACAAGUCAACAUCAAUUUCUUUUGCUGUAAAAAAGCUUGAGGAAGGUGGCUUGAGAUUCGUCUUAAGUGUUUAUAGCCUCUUGCCUAUGCAGUCGGAGAGAUUGAGGUCUGCAGCGUAGAUCCUUCGGGGCUAAAUGCAUUUGUGCUAAGUUAUAGCAUUUUAUAGACAACUUGUUGACUAUGAUUUGUCUUGUAGCUUACUCGCUUAUGUUAUUUUACCUACGCUUAGGAUGUUGAACUCUAUCACACACAG